UCCCCAGUAGGGGGUGGGCAGGAGGCAAUUGAAUGACUAUCAUUGAUGUUUCUCUCUGAAAUCAAAAUACAUUUCUUAGGUAGGCCUUGACAGUACUAGCUGAGACAUUUGAGGGGUGUGAAAAGGCUAAAAUUUCUCUAGUUCCAUGAGGGAAGUAGCCCCUAUAAGUUUUUUGUAAUUUGCUUAUUUGUACAGGUGAGGAAAAAUUGGCCAACUUAGCGGUAGCUGAUACACAAAUUUGUCACAGCUGUAGGAUUUACUAGACUAAGAUUGUUCAGCCGCUCUGUCCCGUUCCCCCCCCCCCCACAAUAGUGGUGUUUAACUUCAGAGAACACUAUUAGAAAGGGUAGGAAGGAGGGUGACCAGAAACCGGGUAUCUGUAGGCUUGCCAAGACAACUGCCUGGUUUUGAGCACCACCUACUGGUCACUACAAACUAGUUUUACAUUCAU